AUAACGAAGGGACCUAGCGUAAGUUCGGAAAUUAACUGGGCUUAAAGAGUUCGUAGGUGGUUGAAAAAGUUGGUGGUGAAAAUCCCAGAGCUUAACUCUGGAACUGCCAUCAAAACUUUUCAGCUAGAGUAUGAUAGAGGAAAAGCAGAAUUUCUAGUGUAGAGGUGAAAUUCGUAGAUAUUAGAAAGAAUACCAAUUGCGAAGGCAGCUUUCUGGAUCAUUACUGACACUGAGGAACGAAAGCAUGGGUAGCGAAGAGGAUUAGAUACCCUCGUAGUCCAUGCCGUAAACGAUGUGUGUUAGACGUUGGAAAUUUAUUUUCAGUGUCGCAGCGAAAGCGAUAAACACACCGCCUGGGGAGUACGACCGCAAGGUUAAAACUCAAAUGAAUUGACGGGGACCCGCACAAGUAGUGGAGCAUGUGGUUUAAUUCGAAGAUACGCGCAGAACCUUACCAACACUUGACAUGUUCGUCGCGACUCUAAGAGAUUAGAGUUUUCGGUUCGGCCGGACGAAACACAGGUGCUGCAUGGCUGUCGUCAGCUCGUGUCGUGAGAUGUUGGGUUAAGUCCCGCAACGAGCGCAACCCUCACUUUUAGUUGCCAUCAUUAAGUUGGGCACUCUGAAAGAACUGCCAGUGAUAAGCUGGAGGAAGGUGGGGAUGACGUCAAGUCCUCAUGGCCCUUACGUGUUGGGCUACACACGUGCUACAAUGGUAUCUACAACAGGAAGCAAGACUGCGAAGUUAAGCAAAUCCCUAAAAGAUACCUCAGUUCGGAUUGCACUCUGCAACUCGAGUGCAUGAAGCUGGAAUUACUAGUAAUCGUGGAUCAGCGUGCCACGGUGAAUGCGUUCCCGGGUCU
rnacentral:rRNA from 1 species